rnacentral:lncRNA from 1 species
GGUCAGCCACCUAGCUAAGCUCUUUACAUGAUGAUCUGGUAUCAACCUUGUCAGGCCUCCAAGAAGUCUGUGCCAUCAUGACCCUCAUUGUUUAGAUGAGAACACUGAGGCUCAGAGAGUAUCUUGACAGAGCUAAGAUUUGACUCCAGGUCUGUCUGACUCCACCAUGGUUAAUCGUUAACAUACUGCUGAGUCAUUCUCUAGUUGCGUCUUUUUUAAGGAACUUAGUACUCCUGAAUGUUUUAUCUUUUUUUUUUUUGUCUUUUUGCCAUUUCUUGGGCCACUCCCAUGGCAUAUGGAGGUUCCCAGGCUAGGGGUCUACACCAGAGCCACAGCAAUGCGGGAUCUGAGUCGCGUCUGCGACCUACACCACGGCUUACGGCAACGCCAGAUCGUCAACCCACUGAGCAAGGGCAGGGACCGAACCUGCAACCUCAUGGUUCCUAGUCAGAUUCAUUAACCACUGCGCCACGACGGGAACUCCUGUUUUAUGCGCGCACACACUCACACACACACACACACACAGGGAUGUAUGUAUGUAUAUAUUUUGAAUUUCCUUUGUUCUUCCCAGUACUAACGACCUUAAUGUGCAGUUCUACAGGGAUUAUUUUAUGUUAAUUACCUCUCUAUUAAAUUGGUCAUCAUAACCAACCCAUGGGGCUGUCAGGACAGGUAUGAUCCCAGCUUCUAGGCCACUAGAAAUGGACUUGCCCCAACACAUGCGGCCGGUAAGUGGCAGGAGCUGGGCUGAAACUGAGGUCUUUGGACUUCUGGUCCAUUUCUCACUCAACUUGGCCGUGAUUCUGACCUGUCUUUUUCACAGGUCAGCUGUCUUUAUCUUCCUGCCCCAAGAGAAUUACUUUUUAUUAAAACAAAACCAUUUUCUUGGUUACUUUUAUUAGCUAAGCAGGGUUGGGAUAUGCACACGGAUCAGGCAGGACAAGCAGAAGAGGCAUCCUUCCAGUUUUCACAGCUUAAGUUGUGUAAAUCAGGAGGCAUUCCUUAAACUCGGGGUGGAUGGACUCGUUGGGCUUAUCCCUUUGCAGAAUCUGGAAAGGGACCAGUGAUGCAGCAUGACACCCAUUGUGUGAGGAGCUGGGCCCAUUCCAGCUCCCUGUGCGAUUUCUGCAGUCCUGUGUUCAACUCUCCCUCAAGGCCAAGCUUCAGACCACCCAUUAGCAAACAAUUUAUUUUUCAAGAAGUUGCCCUGAAGCCAUUUCUUUAUAUGAAAGCUUUUAGUUCAUCCCUACACUAGAAAUUCAAUUUACCACUGAAAGAAGUUUUCCAGAAGAGGUUGUUAUUAUUUCUUUUAAAGAGAAGUGUCAGAGGAGGGGUUGGUGGAAGCAAUAAAGAAAACCAUUAAAAUGGAUUGCGAAUUAGGCUCUUGUUUCCUGGUGAAGAUGGCAGGAGGGGGUGGUGUUCCAGCUCACAGGGCGAUGUGGUUCUUAGAACAGCAGGGAGUGGCUGGGCAUACAGGCCACAGUCAGACUGACAACUACAUAGCUCGUCUCAGGAAGCGCUUGGGGAUGGGGUCCAAACUGGGGUCCGUUUUAAAAAUCAGAUUCUGAGAUCUGAGAAACAGAGUUAUGAAAAAAGGUUGUGUAAUAGAGAAGAAUCCGAAGGUGUGGAUUCUGACUCCGGCUGCGGGACCGAUUACCUAUGUUACUUUAUUUAUUUAAAAAAUUUUUAAUUUAUUUUUAGGGCCACAAGUGUGGCAUGUGGACGUUCCCAGGCGAGGGACUGAAUCAGAGCUGCAGCUGCUGGCCUACACCACAGCCAACAGCAACGUGGGACCUGAGGGGCAUCUGUGACCUAUACCACAGCUCACAGCAAUGCUGGCUCCUUGGCCCAGAGGCCAGGAAUCAAAACUGUAUCCUCAUGGUGCCUGGUUCUAAUUCAUUUCUGCUGAGACACAACGGGAACUCCGUUUUUUUUGUUUUUUUUUUUUUUUCCCGUGGGACUUUAGGAAUGUCACUUAAUGGCUCUGGGCCUCUGUUUCCUGACCUAUAGAAUGAGAAUCACCUGAGGGGCGCCUUAAAAAAAAAAAUAUAUAUAUAUAUAUAUAGUACCUCAGCGUCAUCCUUAGAGACUGAUUAAAUUGGUUUGGGAUACACCUGGCCUCCGUAUUUCUAGAAGUUCUUUGGGGGAUGGAAAUAUGCAGCCCAGUUGGAUCAGCUCUCAAAUCUCCUCUAGUUGUAGCAGUCGACUUUAAAAUAUAUGCAGUUGGUUUCUUACCAAGGGAUUUAUAAACUACACAAUAGCUUAUAAAUGGAUUUACUGUAACGAAGAAUGCUGAUCACUGUUGUCUUGAAAAACAGAAAAGUUCUUAAAGAGUUAUUGAAGCUAUGUCAUUGAUUUGGAAGAUAAUUCUCCAGCGGAAGCCAUGAACGUUUUCUGUGAGGCAUGAGGAUAGGAGAAAGAGAGUUUGAUAGAGCCAAAAAGUUGGAAUUGUUAUUUUUAGGUAACUGAAAGUGUUUUUCCUCAGAAGUUAUACGGGGAGGGAAUUAGUUCAUAGGCCUAGAAGAGAAUAUUUGGGUUGCAAACCUUAUUUUUAAGGUAAGCACAGAAAUUGCCUUUUUUUUUUUUUUUUUCUUUUUAGGGCCAAACCCAUGGCAUAUAGAAGUUUCCAGGCUAGGGGUCAAAUCAGAGCUACAGCUGCCAGCCUACAUCACAGUGACAGCAAUGCAGGAUCUGAACCGCAUCUGUGACCUACAGCACAGCUCACGGCAAUGCUGAAUCCUUAACCUGCUCAGUGAGGCCGAGGAUCAAACCUGGGUCCUCAUGGACACUAGUUGGGUUUGUUACUGCUGAGCCACGAUGGGAACUCCAAGAACAGUAAUUUCUAGCCCAUAUCUCCUUCUAAGUCCCAAGGCAGAAAUCAUAUUUUUAUAAAUGCCAAAUUAUCAGUUCUGAUGGAGGUCAAAAUUCCAGUCCUUGCUAUAGCAAGUUACCCGUCCUUUAGAAUCAAAUUUCUUCCAAACCAGAGUUAUUUUUAAAGGUAACAGGGCCCUGGAAAACAUAAGAUUAAUGGAACAUUCCUUUUGUUUACUUAGUUUCAAAUUAUUAGGCAUACAGGAAUUGGGAUGAAUGAUUUUAUAGUUUAUAUUUGGAUAACGAAAGAAAAAAUGAGAGGUGUGGCGUAAAAUUUGAUACUGAAGCUUUCCUCAUAAGUACUUUCUGUUCAAGUACUUGGAUCCCUGAAGGCAGUUAUCAUCCAACACAUAAGCAGGUCAUAGUAAAUCCUAAGCCCAAGGUCACCUCCCUCUCCUCCUCCUCUCUCUCCCCACCACGCACACACAAAGCUCUGGCUGUGUAAUCCUCUUUUGUGUCAGAAGAAUCUAGGCAAGAUUCAGAAAUGUUGUUUCUUGCGAACAGCAAGGCACCAUCUAUAGCCAUGAAGAACCUCACAUUUAUUUUGAAUUUAGAGCCUCUGAUCUGUAACAACUCUAUACCAGGAAAGGAUAGCAAAUGACCUCAUGUAGCAUCAGGUAGGAGCACGUAUGACGAGAUAAGAGGUGAUUUUUUUUUUUUUAAAUAAAAAUCAGUGUUCCUACUCAUUUCUAGCCCUUGACUCCUUUUCCUGAAAAGAAAACCAGCUUGUAUUUGAAAAUACUCUGAGGCUUACAAAAUAUUGGAUGUUAGUUUAAUUUAUUUUUAUUUUUUUUGUUUUUAGGGCUGUAUGUGUGGCAUAUGGAGGUUCCCAGGCUAGGGGUUGAAUUGGAGCUGCAGCUGCCAGUCUAUGCCAUAGCCACAGCAACUGGGGAUCCAAGCCGGGUCUGUGACCUACACCACAGCUCAUGGCAAUGCUGGACCUUUAACCCACUGAGCAAGGACAGGAAUUGAACCCACAUCCUCAUGGAUACUAGUCAGGUUCACUACUCUGAGCCACAAUAGGAACUCCUGGACCUUAGUUUAAGUACAGAAAAGCAUAAUG